AAUUAUUUUUCGCGGUUUAUUUUUUUAGAUAAUGUGGCUUUGGAAGGCGUAUCUUGUUAUUAUAGUAAGUUUACAGGCAUGUGGACUUACGUCUCUUGACAUAACCGGGUCUUCGGAAUUAAAAAAUUAUAAGGAUGUGUUUUUGCCCGGGCUUCCUGGUGGAAAACCUACUCUUGGGUCGACCACUGCCACCUGCUGGGCGCGUGGUGGAAUCUGCAUCGACAUUCGCCACUGCACCACCAUGAGCUUCGACCCCUCCGUCCCUGGUUGUACCAGAGGCUUCAAGGUUUGCUGCAAGCAUAUGUAUAAGUUUGGUUCCCCCACCGUGGGCAUCAAAAGGAAAAGUACUGAGUUACUCAUUUUCUCGUCGAGCCUCCAAGAACUUGACCAGGACUCGAUUCGUCUGCUUGCGUUGAUGAAUACCAAUAUAUUAGAAAAUCUAUAGUGUCUUCUUUGUGUUAUUUGUUAUUACUUGUAUAUUUUUUACUCAAAUAAUUCUUCAUAUUGUAAGUUUUAGAACCGUUUAGUAUGCCCGGUUGGUAGCGGUCUGCGUCCAGCGCCUUCCUGCUACCUUUAUGAUGUCGUCGGUCCACCUUGUGGAACUGGACGCAAGCCGCUAUCAACCGGGCAACAUGGAAAGCAUUGGGGGAGGCCUAUGUUCAGCAGUGGACGUCCUAUGGCUGAGAUGAUAAUGAUGAUGAUGAUGAUGAUGCAGAUUAGUGUGUACCAUGAGAUUGAACUUACAAAUUAACCUGAAUAAAAUCCCAAGACUUU